CGCUGCCGUUUAGGGAUAGGGAGGAUUAGGAAUGCAUAUGGUUGUUCGACUUAGAAUGAAACCCGUAGUAAAAGGGAUGUGGUUGUUCGACUGCCAACUUCUCUAUGCUUUUGUUAUUUAUUGUGCCUCUUGGGAUUAUCAUUUUAAUUAAAUCUUUGGCUUUCCGAUGAAAGUCUAUUCGAUAUCCGAAAUAGACAGUGUAUCUUUGGCUUUCCGAUGAAAGCCUAUUCGAUAUUCGAAAAGCCUCAAGACUUUUUUUCCUAUAAAACACCCGAGAUCAAAUCCAUUUGAGCCCAAACUGCAGCAAUUUGUUUCGUAUAAAAUUACAAAUCAUCAUCAACGGAAAAAAUGGCUCAGCCGUAGAAGAACCUCCUGUAUUUUCAUGGCGGCGGCGCCGGAUGAGGCGGGAGACGAUCGAAUGUGGAGAAGGCUCAAACCAUUAUGCAUGCAAAAAAAACAAAACAACAACAAAAGAGAAUAAUCAUGGAAAGAGAUAGACAAAAAGGAGUCAGACAUGAAGAAACCACCUUCUACAGGUACAGAGAGUUUAAGUAAUGCAGUUUUUCAAGCUACGGGCAAAAACAUGAAAGCAGCAAUAGAAGCAUCUGCAGGUGAUGCAUUAAACAGUUCAACUAUUGCAGCUUAAGCAUCUGC